rnacentral:lncRNA from 1 species
CUCCCCAAGCUGCCUUCUCUGCAGUGUUCCCGCAGCUUCCUGCCUCAUGUUUGCUUUCUAUUUUCAUAUCCAUGGGAAAGGAAUCUGCUCUAGCGUGGGGCUGCUAUCCUGCCUGUGCCAGCUGGGGCUGCCACCUUUAGCUUAGGCCACAGGCUAACUCAAUUCUUCUUCCCUCUGGCCAGAAUGCAUGCCACUGGAGAAACAAUUUAUUUCCCGAAACCACGCUGCCUUCAGCAAUUUCAAAUAGCUUUAAAUUAUGUGAAGUUAAACAAAGGUCUUAAAAUUUACAAGAAGUUCUCCAUUUGCUGUGUGCAUUUCUCUAAGGAAAUUAUUGCUUUUUCAUCUGCCAUUCAUCUCAUCCACAUAGGAACAAAGUGGAUUUUCAGACCCUUGGCCCAGACUUGGAGGCAGAGGAGCCCGUACGUUCAGAUGAAUGGUGUCUCAGAGGUGACAGCUGUCUUUGAGAAUGCUGGAUACUGCACAGAAGGGCCAGUGCUCUGACUGGGAACAGUUUGGCAGGGUUGUGUUAAGGUAAGGUGCAGAUUUGGGGGAAGUUGGGAUUGGUAUUAUCCAGUGGAUUUCUGGCCUUUCUGAUCUGCCUGUCAGCAUCCUCUGACCCCAUUUGGGAUGGUUAGUGCUCUGCCUUUUCAGGUGAACCAUGUAACUGAUGCCUGAUUGAGGUACGUGUUUUGUAUUUCACAGAUUAAAAUAAAUGCUCUAGCUAAUGUAAUUGGGCUUAAAUA